GACGAACGCUGGCGGCAUGCCUAAUACAUGCAAGUCGAGCGAACAGAUGAAGUGCUUGCACUUCUGACGUUAGCGGCGAACGGGUGAGUAACACGCAAGGAAGCUACCUAUCAGCGGGGGAUAACAUUCGUAAACGGGUGCUAAUACCGCAUAAUCUCUUCUUCUGCAUGGAACACGAUUGAAAGACGGCUCUGCUGUCACUUAUAGCUGACCUUGCGGUGCAUUAGUUAGUUGGUGGGGUAAUGGCCUACCAAGACGAUGGUGCAUAGCCGACCUGCGAGGGUGAUCGGCCACAUUGGGACUGAGACACGGCCCAAACUCCUACGGGAGGCAGCAGUAGGGAAUCUUCCGCAAUGGGCGAAGGCCUGACGGAGCAAUGCCGCGUGAGUGAAGAAGGCCUUCGGGUCGUAAAACUCUGUUAUAAGAGAAGAACAAAUUGUAGAGUAACUGCUACAGUCUUGACGGUAUCUUAUCAGAAAGCCACGGCUAACUACGUGCCAGCCGCCGCAGUAA
rnacentral:rRNA from 1 species